rnacentral:lncRNA from 1 species
UCAGACUCGGCUGUGAAACUACACAAGUUGUCUUCUUGUAACUUCAUCGUGUAACAAAAGAGGAUAUCGUGCAGAAGAUGCAGCCAAGGAAGCAGUAGAAGAAUUGGUUAGCUCGGUGAACAUACAAUCAUGUGUCGAUCAACAUACGCAAGACCAGGUUAUUAUCCUAAUGGCCCUUGCUGUCGGUGAAUCAAAGCUUAGAACUGGUCUAUCACUAUGCACACAAAAACCGUAAUGCAUUUCACGGAAAAACUACUGGGGGUGAAGUUUGCUGUCCAAGCCAUUGAUGAUAAAGUCAAUAUCAUUGAGUGUACAGGAUCAGGAUUCCAAAAUCCCAAUUUUAAUUUCACCUCAGCCGAUGUCCAUCUUGUAAGGAUCUCGACAAGUAAUUACCUCUUUUUUUCUCAAUCAGUUGCUUACAAAAAUACCAGUAGCAUUUGCUGAUAUAAGAAAAUCUACAAAGUAAGGGAUGCAUCAAAUAGAAGAGCAGACUUCUCCUUCCUCUACGAAAUUUUUCGGUGACUUUUCACUGCCUUCGAAAGCUGUUUUGAAGAAGUCAAACGGAGACGAGGCAUCGAAGGACUUGUCAUGUUGCCAUGAUGUGAACAUGAACAAUUUGUCAUGUAAGAGGUGCAGGUUGGACAGAAUAAGUGAUCUCAGUUACUGCAGGUAAAAUAGUAAAAACCACCGCUAUCUUUCCUUCUUUUUUAUUGUGAAAGACCUUUUAUAAAAUUGAAUCGAAUUUGAUUCAAGUUUUCACAAUUAAUGAAGAGGAUAAAAGUUAUUUAUCUCCUCCCAAAAUUCCAUGAAAAGGAAAGAAGGUCCUCAGUAUAGCUCCUUCCCGAGGACUUCCCUCAAUCAUCAAGUUCUCAUCAAGGCUUCUUCUGUGAAGAAAUUUUUCCCCUCAGAGUCACUAUUUUAAUGUAUUUUCUAAUCAUUGUCUUGAAAAAUAUCUCGGAAUAAUUUUAUUUUUGUGGGGCAGUGCUAUUUUCUGAACUACUUAGUCUACAAGUAGAGGUUUGUAGUUGCAAUCUCUGAGGAAAAGUGCCUCUGCAAAAAUCGCAUAGCUUUCUCUUUGCCCAACGUAGCGACAAAGCCAGACAACAGAAACUGACUUUAAGUGUGAUGAGCACAUUUUUAGGAUUUUUUAUAUUUUUUAGGAUUUUCAAAAGGUAAGUGCCACAAUGACCCAUACUUGAUCAUCAAUGUUGUCAUUUAUAAUUGUGUAAAGUGAAAAUUCUAAUUAACUUUUUGAAAAUAUCCAUCAGAAUCUAUAUUUGGCUCAAAAUGUAUCCUAAUCUUGAUUUUAACAGGCAUUCAAUGAUUUUUAGUAGAGCUCUGUGAUUAAUCAAAUGUUCAUCCUCAACUUCAUUAAUUUUUAAUUUAUUACAAUCGAAUCAAGAUUUCACUCGCGAUUAAUUUGACUUCCCAAUAGAAUUUAAUUUCCUUAAAGUUCUUGAAUUUGAAAUUCCUGUCAUCUCUUCAAUAGCACAUAGCCAUCCUCUAUUGGUAAAAUAAAUUGCAUUAAAUAGGCUGACAACUCCAUGAAAAUGGCCCUACAUUGAAACCUCUAUAACUCGGUUCCCGGAUAAGCCGGUAACCCGCUUUAGUCAGUAGAAUCGCCCGGUCUCGUUUAUCACCCAUAUAACACAAUGCUAAAUAAGUCUGGAUAGCUCGGUUUGGUCAGAUUCUGAAACCGCUUAACUCUGUGAAAUUUUUCCAUCUCGACCUGCUUCGAUCGUCACCGUGAUCAAGCGUAGGGUCGGGUCAAGUUACGCCACGAAGGGUGAGCAAAUCUCUGAGAGAGCGCAGCGCGAGAGACGACAUCAGCUCCCCCUCUCCUGCACCACAGUAUGAUCACUCUCAGUGAAGGCGGCCAGCUGGAGGGGGCACCUUGAAUUUGUCUGCCACAUCCUGUCUUUUCAUUUUAUUUAUUUAUUUAUUUAUUUAUUUCAAUUUCAACGGGACAAGUCCCAAUUACAUAACACUUAAAUAAAAACAAGGACAACAAAACAUACAACAAAACGGGCAAAGAGAGUGUGACUAAUAAGUAACUAGUAUCCGUUCUUUCAUUAAAGACUUAAAAUUCGAAAUACUUAAGUCAAUUCGAGAGAGGGCAAGAGUUAGGCUGACUAUGGAUUCGCGGAGAGAGCCAAACUCACAAAGAGCAUCUUCUACCAUCUUGCUUAAAACACCCAAGUUGUUGUUGAUAUCAUCCGAAAAUUCUUGAAAAGCUAAUCCUGGAUAUCCAUUUGAAUUUGAAAUACAGUCAGUGCAUCUGAAGACCAAAUUCUGACGUGAUUUUAGUUGUAAGCCACGAAUCUCUGUGGCACCAAGACUUGGGCAAUCUUUGUUUGCAUGAAAGAGCUUUGUACAACAAAAGCAUGAUACUAUAAAGUCAUCAGGACCAUAGGGGGAGCUGCACGCCGAGCAAGUAGACAUAUCUCAAUAAGUUUAAGGAAUAUUCAAAGAAAUGCUCGUAAUAAGUUGCUUGAAAUGUGCACAAUUCCAGAUGUGAGGUUAGGUUUAGAGUUUGCUAAUAUAUAAGCAACAAAACUGAGUAAGUUCAAAAGUUCAAUUUAAAAAAACGAUAAAGUGCUAUGAAAUCACUGUAGUAAACUUGUUUUCAAAAGUAAUAACAUGAACAAAACACAAAAAACGUGGAACAGGUGAGAAGAAAGAUUUGCCCAACAGUUGCAGCCAGUGUUGCCAGCUAUCAUAAUCUAUCAUAGCCAACUAUCAUAAGCAUCAGUUUGCGGAUUCUUUUCACUAAACGCGAUUAUUUCUAAUUUUUGCUUCACGCUCAAAGUUGUAAGUCUGUGUCUAGGAGGAGCCAUUUCAAACAAAUCAAUAAGUGACACUCCCCUAAUGUUUUAAUGGGGAUUCAUCUGACUCAUCUAAUCCCAGGGGCAUCAUCACAAGGUCUUACAUAAGACAAUCUCAUCUUUUCAUACUGUGAAAAUGCUCAACACAAGAUCGCUUCUACCACCCUUAUCUUUAGACGAGAAUAAAUGCCAUCAGUUGCAGAAGAUGUAGAAAUUUAAUUUUGUCCAUCGCAUCUUGAUCCUUAGUCAUACUUAAAAGUAAAUGCAACCAGUCAUAGAAGGUUCGGUAAUUAAAAUUAAUAUCAUUGCUGCUGGCGAUUAUUUUAUUUUUUAUUUAUUUAUUUUAUUUUGCACACACACAUUUUGGUACAUCUACUUCCCUGUGGGGAUUGUACAAGUCAUUACAACAUUCCAACAUCCAAUUUUACAAUAUACAAUUAUUACAUCAACGUUAUAUUGUUUUUAAUAAUCUUCGGCUGACAUUAUGCUUUUAAAAGUCGACAGCAUUUUACAAAAAAACAAACCAUAUUAAGUUUUGCUUAAAAUUCUCCACUAAUCCCAUGUGUCAGAGACCGGUUUGUACGAUGACUUCAUCCAAAUUCUAGUAUUCUGUUUCACAGUGGUGAGUCUAAUGAAAUAAUUUCCAGUCAUUUCUCCUUUCCAAAACCAAUGAGCCUCCACCUGUGCUGUAAGACGCAGAAGAUAGAUUUCAAACUUACCUAAAUUAAAGUCUUUUAGACGCCCUGAGGUGUGGUACCACAGGUCAUCAACUCUCAAGUAUCAAAAGAGGUGUCAGCGACUAUUCAACUCACUUCUUUAUUGUUAUACUUGAGCUAUCAAGCUGGCACCAAAUAAUAUUGUAUGAGUAUCCUUGAAUUGCAUGUGAUUUUGAUUUACGAUCAAAACUCAAAAUUUAAACAUGUCAUAUUUAAAAAUAUAAAUAUUGAAUUUUAAGUAAGCUUUAUCAUUACACUUUAAGCGCCCGUUUUUAUGCAUUCGUUGAUAGAACUGCUACUGCCUUCUUCGACAGGUUGGCAAUUAAUAGCUAGGUAAGUAUGAGUUCUGUUAAUGAACACAUGUAAGAUGACAAAAUAGUGUACUAACAAAGUCAAUUUAUCAAAGUUAUCAAGGAAAUCUAUUUGAUGGACUAUCGCAAAGAAACACUCGUUCUGUUUUUUUUUGUUUCUUUUUUAUUGAGGGAACCACCCUCCUGGAUUUUAACAAGAAGUUUACUCAUUUUGCACAUGAGCAGUAACUGUAUCAUGGAACUUGCUAUCUGAUGUGACAACCAAACUCAGAGACUUCUCUUACUCAUUAGUUUAUCAGCAAAUAAAUUACGUAAGAGUGCAAUGUGGACUGCGCAUUAUUCCAAGGAAAUCCUUAGAACCUAUCUUGCACUAUGAAACUGGAAUGUUCAGCAAAAUCCUAAUUGAUUAAGAACUCGCCUUUUCAAAAUUCUCCUUCUACUAUUUGGAAGAAGCUGCAUGUUGCUGGGCGGUGGAGAGUGCUGCCGUGAACAGUCUUGACUGGUGCAAAAUGCCCCAAUAAAUCCUCUGUCCCUUGAACGACGUCUUGCCGGUUUGUCCGAGCAGUGGUCACCCAUUGCUUGUCCAGAAUUUCAUCGAUGUCAUUGUCCUUGAAUUUAUUCAGGGUUGCCAGCGACCAGGAAAAGACAGGGAAUUUCGGUGUUGGUCAGGGAUUUUUCUGAUUUUCGUGGAAUUAGGCGCGGGCGGUUCUAAAAAUUUAAAUAGUCGAAAAUAGCUCUCAUUUUCACUUUAACACACUGCGUAAGAUCCAUACUUAAAAGUCAGGAAAAUUUUGGAAAGUCAGGGAAUGGAAAUAAAUAAUUUGGCUGGCAACCCUGUAAAUUAUUUCUCAAGUCAGCCGAAAGCUUGUCUGUUCUAGGGCACUCUGGACCCUUACUAAAGAAAUAUCUGAGUGUUGGAGGGUUCCAGAUUAUCCAUGCUAGACAGCCUUUAUAGGAAAAUCAUGGCGCAUUCUUUUGUCAGUUCUGUAAUCUUUGCGGCAAUCAAUGAUUAAUGGCAUAUUUUGAUGAGUCGUGCAUGCGCAAACCGUAUGUGUGCCACUGGAUUCGGGAAAAACACAAUGUGUUGCAUGGGGGAGCAGAAA